UGUUCUCAGAGCUGAAGAUCAACACUGCUGAAGCUCUGUCUGCUCUUGCUGUCUCACAAGGACCGGAAGAGGAUGAAACACCAGUCAGUACCGGGGGAAUUGCAACGGAAAAAUAUUUUUCCAUUUCGGUCAAGUCGCCAUCGGGAAAUCAUUCAGACUCAAUAUUGAGACUGAUACAGGGCGAUGCUGAGAUCCAAAGUCCAGGUCUCUGCUGCAGCAGUACUCUGAUACACUGAACUCUGAUACAGCACUACUCUGAUACACUGAACUCUGAUACAGCAGUACUCGGAUACACUGAACUCUGAUACAGCAGUACUCGGAUACACUGAACUCUGAUACAGCACUACUCUGAUACACUGAACUCUGAUACAGCAGUACUCUGAUACACUGAACUCUGAUACAGCAGUACUCGGAUACACUGAACUCUGAUACAGCAGUACUCGGAUACACUGAACUCUGAUACAGCAGUACUCGGAUACACUGAACUCUGAUACAGCAGUACUCUGAUACACCGAACUCUGAUACAGCAGUACUCUGAUACACUGAACUCUGAUACAGCAGUACUCUGAUACACCGAACUCUGAUACAGCAGUACUCGGAUACACUGAACUCUGAUACAGCAGUACUCUGAUACACCGAACUCUGAUACAGCAGUACUCGGAUACACUGAACUCUGAUACAGCAGUACUCUGAUACACUGAACUCUGAUACAGCAGUACUCUGAUACACUGAACUCUGAUACAGCAGUACUCGGAUACACUGAACUCUGAUACAGCAGUACUCGGAUACACUGAACUCUGAUACAGCAGUACUCGGAUACACUGAACUCUGAUACAGCAGUACUCUGAUACACUGAACUCUGAUACAGCAGUACUCUGAUACACUGAACUCUGAUACAGCAGUACUCGGAUACACUGAACUCUGAUACAGCAGUACUCGGAUACACUGAACUCUGAUACAGCAGUACUCGGAUACACUGAACUCUGAUACAGCAGUACUCGGAUACACUGAACUCUGAUACAGCAGUACUCGGAUACACUGAACUCUGAUACAGCAGUACUCGGAUACACUGAACUCUGAUACAGCAGUACUCGGAUACACUGAACUCUGAUACAGCAGUACUCUGAUACACUGAACUCUGAUACAGUUCUUCAGUACAGAGCCAUCUCUAGCCUCUCUGACUUGGUUGUCUGUGUCUGCAGGACCUCAGAUUGUACCUGCCCCCCAGCCUUGAGCAGCCCACCUAGAGGGUGGAGUCUUCUGACCUUGGUGGAGUCUAUUGUAUGCCGCAUCUGCAGCUUCCUGUAAGAAGCCACUACUUGCUGAGCAGCUGAGUUUUCCUUCCAGAUGAGAUUCUGGCAAAGUAGGGGAUAGGCUCCCCACCCCCGCCCUUUAAAUUCAGACCUUAGAAUUAAAACAUUGAGCCUUGAUCAGAGAA
rnacentral:lncRNA from 1 species